rnacentral:rRNA from 1 species
AACGAACGCUGGCGGCAUGCCUAAUACAUGCAAGUCGAACGAAGGCUUCGGCCUUAGUGGCGCACGGGUGCGUAACGCGUGGGAAUCUGCCCUUGGGUUCGGAAUAACGUCUGGAAACGGACGCUAAUACCGGAUGAUGACGUAAGUCCAAAGAUUUAUCGCCCAGGGAUGAGCCCGCGUAGGAUUAGCUAGUUGGUGAGGUAAAGGCUCACCAAGGCGACGAUCCUUAGCUGGUCUGAGAGGAUGAUCAGCCACACUGGGACUGAGACACGGCCCAGACUCCUACGGGAGGCAGCAGUAGGGAAUAUUGGACAAUGGGCGAAAGCCUGAUCCAGCAAUGCCGCGUGAGUGAUGAAGGCCUUAGGGUUGUAAAGCUCUUUUACCCGGGAUGAUAAUGACAGUACCGGGAGAAUAAGCCCCGGCUAACUCCGUGCCAGCAGCCGCGGUAAUACGGAGGGGGCUAGCGUUGUUCGGAAUUACUGGGCGUAAAGCGCACGUAGGCGGCGAUUUAAGUCAGAGGUGAAAGCCCGGGGCUCAACCCCGGAAUAGCCUUUGAGACUGGAUUGCUUGAAUCCGGGAGAGGUGAGUGGAAUUCCGAGUGUAGAGGUGAAAUUCGUACAUAUUCG